UUGAACGCUGGCGGCAUGCCUUACACAUGCAAGUCGAACGGCAGCACGGGGGCAACCCUGGUGGCGAGUGGCGAACGGGUGAGUAAUACAUCGGAACGUGCCCUGAAGUGGGGGAUAACGUAGCGAAAGUUACGCUAAUACCGCAUAUUCUGUGAGCAGGAAAGCAGGGGAUCGCAAGACCUUGCGCUUUAGGAGCGGCCGAUGUCGGAUUAGCUAGUUGGUGAGGUAAAGGCUCACCAAGGCGACGAUCCGUAGCGGGUCUGAGAGGAUGAUCCGCCACACUGGGACUGAGACACGGCCCAGACUCCUACGGGAGGCAGCAGUGGGGAAUUUUGGACAAUGGGCGCAAGCCUGAUCCAGCCAUGCCGCGUGAGUGAAGAAGGCCUUCGGGUUGUAAAGCUCUUUCGGCGGGGAAGAAAUCGCAUUCUCUAAUACAGGAUGUGGAUGACGGUACCCGAAUAAGAAGCACCGGCUAACUACGU
rnacentral:rRNA from 1 species